CGAGGCGUAGCUUUAACAUAAAGCGUCCAGCUUACACCUGAAAGAUACCUGCCCACAACCAGGUCGUCUCGA
rnacentral:tRNA from 1 species